CUCCUGCCUCAGCUCCCGAGUAGCUGGGAUUUCAGGCCUCCCAAAGUGCUGGGAUUACAGGCGAGAGCCACCGCGCCCUGCCAAGAAUCAGUCUUUUAAGACAAGUACAGUUUGGACCUCCUUAUGCCUGGGUUCCGCAUCUAUGGAUUCAACCAAACGCGGACAAAAAAUAUUAGGAAAGAGCAAUGAAAAUAACUAUACAACAAUAAAAUAAUACAAAUAAAAAUUCAAUAGAACAACCA